rnacentral:rRNA from 1 species
CCUACGGGGGGCAGCAGUGAGGAAUAUUGGUCAAUGGACGAGAGUCUGAACCAGCCAAGUAGCGUGAAGGAUGACUGCCCUAUGGGUUGUAAACUUCUUUUAUAUGGGAAUAAAACGUUCCACGUGUGGGAUUUUGUAUGUACCAUAUGAAUAAGGAUCGGCUAACUCCGUGCCAGCAGCCGCGGUAAUACGGAGGAUCCGAGCGUUAUCCGGAUUUAUUGGGUUUAAAGGGAGCGUAGGUGGAUUGUUAAGUCAGUUGUGAAAGUUUGCGGCUCAACCGUAAAAUUGCAGUUGAAACUGGCAGUCUUGAGUACAGUAGAGGUGGGCGGAAUUCGUGGUGUAGCGGUGAAAUGCUUAGAUAUCACGAAGAACUCCGAUUGCGAAGGCAGUUCACUGGACUGCAACUGACACUGAGGCUCGAAAGUGUGGGUAUCAAACAGGAUGAGAUACCCCAGUAGUC